ACUCCUAGCCUGACUAUUGGACUAAUCUAUUUAAUUAUAGAAGAAAUACUGUUAAUAUGAGUAACAAGAAAAAUUUUCUCCUUGCAUAAGCUUAUAUCAGUAACUGAUAAUAUACUGACAGUUAACAGCUAAUAAAUAUAACCUAACACUAAACUAUUUAUUAAUUAUACUGUUAAUCCAACACAGGUAUGCAAUAAGGAAAGAUUAAAAAGAGUAAAAGGAACUCGGCAAACAUAAACCCCGCCUGUUUACCAAAAACAUCACCUCUAGCAUAACUAGUAUUAGAGGCACUGCCUGCCCAGUGACAAUCGUUAAACGGCCGCGGUAUCUUGACCGUGCAAAGGUAGCAUAAUCACUUGUUCUCUAAAUAAGGACUUGCAUGAACGGCCACACGAGGGUUUUACUGUCUCUUACUCCUAAUCAGUGAAAUUGACCUCCCCGUGAAGAGGCGGGGAUAACACAAUAAGACGAGAAGACCCUAUGGAGCUUUAAUUAAUCAACUCAAAAAGCAUAAAAUAAUACCACCAAGGGAUAAUAGAGCUUUACAUGAGCUGACAAUUUCGGUUGGGGUGACCUCGGAGUAUAAAAAACCCUCCGAGUGAUCAAAACUUAGGCCUACUAGCCAAAGUAUAGUAUCACAUAUUGAUCCAAAAUUUUGAUCAACGGAACAAGUUACCCUAGGGAUAACAGCGCAAUCCUAUUCUAGAGUCCAUAUCGACAAUAGGGUUUACGACCUCGAUGUUGGAUCAGGACAUCCUAAUGGUGCAGCAGCU
rnacentral:rRNA from 1 species